rnacentral:SRP_RNA from 1 species
ACCCAGCAUGGUGGCGCGUGCCUGUAGUCACAGCUACUCAGGAGGCUGACGUGGGAGGAUCACUUGAGCCCAGGAGUUCUGGGCUGUAGUGCGCUAUGCCGAUCAGGUGCCUGCACUAAGUUCAGCAUCAAUAUGGUGACCUCCCGGGAGUCAGUUGCCUAAGGAAGGGUGAACUGGCCCAGGCUGGAAAUGGAGUAGGUCAAAACUCCUGUGCUGAUCAGUAGUGGGAUCGCACCUGUGAAUAGCCACUGCACUCCAGCCUGGGCAACAUAGCAAGACCCCCAUCUCU